CUGAACAUACCAAACUUGUCUGAUUAUGGAAGCUAAACAGGGUCAGGCCUGCUGAAUACUUGGAUGGAAGACCACCAGAGAAUACCAGGCAUGUCCAGA
rnacentral:rRNA from 1 species